UACGUAGGGUGCAAGCGUUAAUCGGAAUUACUGGGCGUAAAGCGUGCGCAGGCGGUUAUAUAAGACAGUUGUGAAAUCCCCGGGCUCAACCUGGGAAUUGCAUUUGUGACUGUAUAGCUAGAGUACGGUAGAGGGGGAUGGAAUUCCGCGUGUAGCAGUGAAAUGCGUAGAUAUGCGGAGGAACACCGAUGGCGAAGGCAAUCCCCUGGACCUGUACUGACGCUCAUGCACGAAAGCGUGGGGAGCAAACAGG
rnacentral:rRNA from 1 species